AGGUUGGUGCAAAAGUAAUUGUGGUUUUUGUUAUUGAAAGUAAUGGCAAAACUGCAAUUACUUUUGCACCAGCCUAUAUA
ensembl:miRNA